CGCAUCUGUGCAUGCAGCAUAUCAAUAAGCGGAGGAAAAGCAUAGCAUGUACUACCUACGCUUAGGAUGUUGACGCGCGUGUGUGCGUGAUCUAUACAUGACUCUGUGCAUAUCAAUAAGCGGAGGAAAAGUAAAUGCUGUAUACCUACGCUUAGGAUGUUGAAGCCAUCGGCAUCUGUGCAUGCUAAUGGCAUAUCAAUAAGCGGAGGAAAAGAAACUAACAAGGAUUCCCUUAGUAACGGCGAGUGAAGCGGGAAGAGCUCAAAUUUGAAAUCUUCAAGGUUUUACCUUGACGAAUUGUAGUUUAAAGAAGUGUUUUCUGUUGAAGUUUUGGUAAAAGUUCUUUGGAAUAGGACAUCAUAGAGGGUGAGAAUCCCGUAUUUGACCAUUAUUUUCAGCUGUGUGAUACACUUUCAAAGAGUCGGAUUGUUUGGGAAUGCAGUCCAAAAUGGGUGGUAAAUUUCAUCUAAAGCUAAAUAUUGGCGAGAGACCGAUAGCGAACAAGUACCGUGAGGGAAAGAUGAAAAGAACUUUGAAAAGAGAGUUAAACAGUACGUGAAAUUGUCAAAAGGGAAGCGUUUGACACCAGUGUUGUUUUCUCGAAAAUCAAUUAAAAAGAGUUUGAUUUUGUUGUGUAUUGACCUUAACAGCUUGCAUUUCAAUUUUCUUGCUUUUUUUCAAUGCACUUUUCGUUUAACAAGUCAACAUCAGUUUCUUUUGUUGUAAAAAGGUCAUUGGAAGGUGGCUUUCUUUUCGGAGAAAGUGUUUAUAGCCUUUGACUCCUGCAAUCGGAGAGACUGAGGUCUGCAGCGUAGAUCCUUCGGGGUUAGAUACAUUUGUGCUAAGUUAUAGCUUUUUAUAGACAACUUGUUGACUAUGAUUAGUCUUGUAGCUUACUCGCUUAUGCUAUUUUACCUACGCUUAGGAUGUUGACGCGCGUGUGUGCGUG
rnacentral:rRNA from 1 species